GAUGAACGCUGGCGGCGUGCCUAAUACAUGCAAGUCGAGCGAACAGACGAGGAGCUUGCUCCUUCGACGUUAGCGGCGGACGGGUGAGUAACACGUAGGUAACCUACCUAUAAGACUGGGAUAACUUCGGGAAACCGGAGCUAAUACCGGAUAAUAUUUCGAACCGCAUGGUUCGAUAGUGAAAGAUGGCUUUGCUAUCACUUAUAGAUGGACCUGCGCCGUAUUAGCUAGUUGGUAAGGUAACGGCUUACCAAGGCAACGAUGCGUAGCCGACCUGAGAGGGUGAUCGGCCACACUGGAACUGGGACACGGUCCAGACUCCUACGGGAGGCAGCAGUAGGGAAUCUUCCGCAAUGGGCGAAAGCCUGACGGAGCAACGCCGAGUGAGUGAUGAAGGUCUUCGGAUCGUAAAACUCUGUUAUUAGGGAAAAACAAACGUGUAAGUAACUGUGCACGUCUUGACGGUAACUAAUCAGAAAGCCACGGCUAACUACGUG
rnacentral:rRNA from 1 species